rnacentral:snoRNA from 1 species
GCACAUGCUCAAAGAUGACAAUUACAUCGACCAUUACAUCUUUAGGAAGAGCCGGAAAAGGUAUGGCUAGCAUCGACAUAUGCUAUGCCGUCGCUGCUUAUAAACUGGUCUCUGAAGAGCUUUGCCUU